rnacentral:rRNA from 1 species
GAUGAACGCUGGCGGCGUGCUUAACACAUGCAAGUCGAACGAUGAAGCUCAGCUUGCUGGGUGGAUUAGUGGCGAACGGGUGAGUAACACGUGAGUAACCUGCCCUUAACUCUGGGAUAAGCCUGGGAAACUGGGUCUAAUACCGGAUAGGAGCGUCCACCGCAUGGUGGGUGUUGGAAAGAUUUAUCGGUUUUGGAUGGACUCGCGGCCUAUCAGCUUGUUGGUGAGGUAAUGGCUCACCAAGGCGACGACGGGUAGCCGGCCUGAGAGGGUGACCGGCCACACUGGGACUGAGACACGGCCCAGACUCCUACGGGAGGCAACAGUGGGGAAUAUUGCACAAUGGGCGCAAGCCUGAUGCAGCGACGCCGCGUGAGGGAUGACGGCCUUCGGGUUGUAAACCUCUUUCAGUAGGGAAGAAGCGAAAGUGACGGUACCUGCAGAAGAAGCACCGGCUAACUACGU